GCGGAGGGCCGGAUGGCCGCUUGGACGGGUUUCGGCCUGUUUGGGAGGAAAGUCCGGACUCCACAGGACAACGGUGCCGGGUAACGCCCGGCCGGGGCAACCCGAGGGAAAGCGCCACAGAAAACAAACCGCGUCAGAGCAAUCUGGCGUAAGGGUGAAACGGUGGGGUAAGGGCCCACCGCGGGGCUGGCAACAGCACCGGCAUGGCAAGCCCCACCGGGAGCAAUGCCAAAUAGGGACCGCGCGCGGGGCUGGUCGGGCAACCGAAACCGCCCGCAGGCACGUCUUGGCCCGGCGGUCCGGGUUGGCAGCUAGAGGGGGAUCGGCAACGGUGCCUUCAGAUGAAUGGUCAUCCAUGGGGACCUAGGUCCUCGGGACAGAAUCCGGCUUAUAGGCCCUCCGCGCAA
rnacentral:RNase_P_RNA from 1 species